rnacentral:tRNA from 1 species
CAAGAAAUAGUUUAAGAAGAAUAUAAGCUUUGGAAGCUUGCGGUGUAUGUUAUUUAUUUUCUUGA